rnacentral:lncRNA from 1 species
CUCGGCUUAGGCCCUUGGCUAAUUUUUCCAUUUGAUGCCGGCACCCUCUUGGAAUGUGGAAAUCUCUACACUCCCCACUUAAUGCUUGGUCAAGAUGACAAGCAAUGUUUGUGGGUGCUAAUGAAGGAAGACAAUUUUCUUCUUUAUCUCUUUUUAUGGAUGAUGACCGCUUCCUUUGUGUCUUUUGUACUAAGCUUUGUAUGUUCAACACAAAGGACCCGUGGAUCUACUCCAAGUUUGUCCCCCCCCGGCAUGGAAUGUGAUGUGUGUAUUUUUCUAACCCUAACCCCUCAUAUCUUGAUGAUGUGUGCUUGUUGUCUUCUCUUAAUUUUGUGAGGUACGGAUUCGAGGUCGAAUCCUUUUCAAGAAGGGGAGGAUGAUACAAGUACGACC